rnacentral:rRNA from 1 species
GACAGAGGAUGCAAGCGUUAUCCGGAAUGAUUGGGCGUAAAGCGUCUGUAGGUGGCUUUUUAAGUCUGCCGUCAAAUCCCAGGGCUUAACCCUGGACAGGCGGUGGAAACUGCCAAGCUGGAGUACGGUAGGGGCAGAGGGAAUUUCCGGUGGAGCGGUGAAAUGCGUAGAGAUCGGAAAGAACACCAACGGCGAAAGCACUCUGCUGGGCCGACACUGACACUGAGGAGCGAAAGCAUGGGGAGCGAACAGG